UAACUUAGCGGCGGACGGGUGAGUAACGCGUGGGUAACCUGCCUCAUACAGGGGGAUAACAGUUGGAAACGGCUGCUAAUACCGCAUAAGCGCACAGUACCGCAUGGUACGGUGUGAAAAACUCCGGUGGUAUGAGAUGGACCCGCGUCUGAUUAGGUAGUUGGUGGGGUAACGGCCUACCAAGCCGACGAUCAGUAGCCGACCUGAGAGGGUGACCGGCCACAUUGGGACUGAGACACGGCCCAA
rnacentral:rRNA from 1 species